GUCAUGGUAUCUGUGUUCUACUAAUCCUUAUUUUACUUAAUAAUGCUCCCAAAGCACAAAAAUAGUAAUAUUGGCAAUUUGAACAUACCUAAGAGAAGCCAUAAAGGCUGUAUUUUAAGUAAAAAGAUCAAACUUUACCAGUGGUUGCAAGUAUGUAUAGAAAAAACCUAGUAUAUAUAGGGUUUAGUAUUAUCCAUAGUUGCAGACAUCCACUGGGGACUUGGAAUAUAUCCUCCAUGGAUAGCAGGAGUCUUCCAAGCUAUUUAAAAACUGGCUUUUAUUCUGAAUGCAACAGAAAGAGAGAUGUGGCAGCAUUGAACUUUAAUGGCUGAAUAAUUGACUUCCAUACUGAGAAUACACUGUUAGGGGACCAGGAUAAAAGCAGGAAGACUUGUCAGGAAAAUCUUGUAGAAAUCAACUUGAAAGAGGAUGGCUUAGGCCUGAUGAUAACAGUGGAGGUGUGGGCAACAUAGAUAUUUUAGAGGUUGAACCAACAGUAUUUCAUAUGAGAUUGGAUAUAGAGUCUUGGGAAAAGAAAGGUCUACAAUAAUUUUAAGCAUUUUCUUUUGAGCUGUAGAAAGAACAUAAUUGUAAUUCACUGAUAUGAGCAAAGAUAUGGGUGUAUAAAUUCCAUUUAUGUGACUAAUUCCUGAAAUUUCCCAAUUAGACUUUUCAUUCCUUUAAAGAAAAAAGUGAGGUGUCUACUUGAAAUAUUCUCAGGUAGAGGCAUAUCCUUUGACCUUAAGUAUUUAUAUCUUAUACUUAAGCAGAUUGAGAAUACAGGAAAGUGAGGGGAACUACAAAUGUCUGAAUAUCAUGCUGAGCAAAAUAAGCCAAUCCCAGAAAACCAGAGACUGAAUGUUUUCUUUAAUAUGAGGAUGCUAAUUCACAAUAAGCGGGGAGGGGCACUAGAGAAAAAUAGAGUUACCUUAGAUUAGGUAGAGGGAAGUGAAGAGAGGGGAAGGGAGGGAUAGGAAAAAUAGUAGAAUGAACAGACAUUAUUACUUUAUGUAUGUAUGUGACUGCAUGACCAAUGUGAUUCUACAAUAUGUACACCCAGAAAAAUGAGAAAUUAUAUCCCAUCUAUAUAUGAUAUAUCAAAGUGCAUAAAUGCAUUCAAAUGUCAUGUGUACCUAAUUAAAACAAAUAAAAAAUUAAUUUAAAAAAUUCAUCCUUUAUACAUACAGGCAAUAGGUCACCAGCUUUGCUUAGGAUAUGUUAAAGGACUGCUCA
rnacentral:lncRNA from 1 species